GCCAUCCCACAACGCAACACAGCCGUAUCACACUCCAAUCGCCUAUUGGGGGCUGACUUCGAACGAACUCCACCCAAUGAUGGUCCGACAAGCACAAAUUAUCAUACCAUACCAACCCGUAAGAAUGCAUGUUGCCGGGCUUCGCCGAAGCACCGCACCGGCCUCAAUAUUGACGAGGCAAUUUCUUGAUUACCGACAAGCCAACUUCUUUUUUGCGACAAGCAACCUUCUUUAUUCGGCAUCUUUCUUUAUUCGGGCAUCUUUCUUUAUCCGGCAUCUUUCUUUAUCGGGCCUCUUCCGAAAGGGACUGGAAAAAAAAAAAAAAAAAAUUUUUUUUUUUUCCGACCGACCGCCGCCGCCGCCGCCGGAGCGCCGCCGCCGUUGGGUGGUGGUGCCGCCCGCCCGCCACCACUGGCCCACCAUUCCUGCCGCAGGGGGGCGCGGCAGGCCCGGGGCGCGGCAGGCCCUCUUUUGCCAAAGUUGCUAGCAACUUUGCCCAAGUUGCUAGCACCUUGGGCAAAGUUGCUAGCACCUUGGCCUAGCACCCUCCUUGGACACCUCCCCCCCUAUAGUAGUGAAAUGGACAAAACCAGCCAAAUGACCACUAGACAUUGAAAAUGCCGAGGGAAGCAACUUUUUUAUUUCUCAAUAUUUUAUAUCUUAUUCAACUUAUUUUUUAACCAAAUUUUUUUCUAACAUUAAUUAUAUUAUUAUCUACCCAUAGAAACUGGAAUUUUAUUUUUCCGACUUGUAAUUAUUUUUAUUUAAUUUUUUCAUUCGAAAAUAAUUUUAAUUACCAAAUAAAUAUAGAAAAAUAUCAAUAUACAUUUUAAAAAUUACGAAAAUUAUGCCAAAUAAUUCCUGUUGAUAUUACAAUAAUUGUUGAAUUUUUUUUUUAUUUUUCUGGUUUGUAAUUAUAUUUUUUAUUAUUUUAAUUCAAAAAAAUACAAUAAAAUAGAUAAUAAAUAGAGAAAAAUAUCGAAAUAUAUUUUAAAAAUCACGAAAAUUAUUCCAAUUAGUUCCUGUUGAUUAUUCAAGAAUUCUUGAAAUUUUAUUUUAUUUUUCUGGUUUUUAAUUAUAUUUUUUUAUUAUUUUAAUUCAAGAAAUACAGUAAAAUAGAUAAUAAAUAGAGAAAAAUAUCAAAAUAUAUUUGAAAAUUCACGAAAAUUAUCCCAGAUGGCUCCUGCUGAAGCUACAUGAAUAUAUGAAAUUUUUAUUUUAUUUUUCUGAUUUUUAAUUACAUUUUUUUAUUAUUUUAAUUCAAAAAAUAAAUAAUAAUUAGAGAAAAUUAAUUCGGGUAUGACGUUUGAAGAGUGGAAAGGUACUGUGGAUAUUUCUUUUACGAAAUAGUAAUUAUUAUUUAUAUUAUUCGGGUCGUUUUAUUAUUUAAUUUCUAUUUAUUCAUUAUUUUAACUAAAUAUAUUCGUUAAAAUAGAGAAAAAACACCAAAGCUCGUUACUACACCGAAAAACAUAACCAUUCUCCGUGGAAUCAUACCCCCCCCACCACCCCCACAAGUGAACGUGACAAUAUCAUCUUCGUAGAAAAAGAUACGUUGAAAACAAUUAUCAUUGUUCAUCGACUUAUUGUUCCCUCACAACAUGCCUUGCCCAAACUAGUCGCUCCCGACGUUUUCGGAGCAAUUCUCGAAAUCUGAGAAAACGGCCCCGACAACCACCGUGCCAAAUUCAAUUUCCUACGCGCUCGUAUUUUUUAUUAUUUUUUUCGGGUCGGAAAAUUUUCGGACUUUCGGCACCGGCCCAGCCAAGGUGCUGGCGACUCUGCCCAAGGUGCUAGCAACUUUGCCCAAAACUAGUCGCUCCCGACGUUUUCGGAGCAAUUCUCGAAAUCUGACCAAACGGCCCCGACAACCACCGUGCCAAAUUCAAUUUCCUACGCGCUCGUAUUUUUUAUUAUUUUUUUCGGGUCGGAAAAUUUUCGGACUUUCGGCACCGGCCCAGCCAAGGUGCUGGCGACUCUGCCCAAGGUGCUAGCAACCUUGGGCAAAAACUAGUCGCUCCCGACGUUUUCGGAGCAAUUCUCGAAAUCUGAGAAAACGGCCCCGACAACCACCGUGCCAAAUUCAAUUUCCUACGCGCUCGUAUUUUUUAUUAUUUUUUUCGGGUCGGAAAAUUUUCGGACUUUCGGCACCGGCCCAGCCAAGGUGCUGGCGACUCUGCCCAAGGUGCUAGCAACCUUGGGCAAAAACUAGUCGCUCCCGACGUUUUCGGAGCAAUUCUCGAAAUCUGAGAAAACGGCCCCGACAACCACCGUGCCAAAUUCAAUUUCCUACGCGCUCGUAUUUUUUAUUAUUUUUUUCGGGUCGGAAAAUUUUCGGACUUUCGGCACCGGCCCAGCCAAGGUGCUGGCGACUCUGCCCAAGGUGCUAAGCAACCUUGUGGCAAAACUAGUCGCUCCCGAAGUUUCGGAGCAAUUCUCGAAAUCUGACCAAACGGCCCCGACAACCACCGUGCCAAAUUCAAUUUCCUACGCGCUCGUAUUUUUUAUUAUUUUUUUCGGGUCGGAAAAUUUUCGGACUUUCGGCACCGGCCCCGCCAAGGUGCUGGCGACUCUGCCCAAGGUGCUAGCAACUUUGACCAAAACUAGUCGCUCCCGACGUUUUCGGAGCAAUUCUCGAAAUCUGACCAAACGGCCCCCACAACCACCGUGCCAAAUUCAAUUUCCUACGCGCUCGUAUUUUUUAUUAUUUUUUUCGGGUCGGAAAAUUUUCGGACUUUCGGCACCGGCCCCGCCAAGGUGCUGGCGACUCUGCCCAAGGUGCUAGCAACCUUGGGCAAAAACUAGUCGCUCCCGACGUUUUCGGAGCAAUUCUCGAAAUCUGAGAAAACGGCCCCGACAACCACCGUGCCAAAUUCAAUUUCCUACGCGCUCGUAUCCUUUAUUAUUUUUUUCGGGUCGGAAAAUUUUCGGACUUUCGGCACCGGCCCCGCCAAGGUGCUGGCGACUCUGCCCAAGGUGCUAGCAACUUUGACCAAAACUAAUCGCUCCCGAAGUUUUCCGAACAAUUCUCGAAAUNNNNNNNNNNNNNNNNNNNNNNNNNNNNNNNNNNNNNNNNNNNNNNNNNNNNNNNNNNNNNNNNNNNNNNNNNNNNNNNNNNNNNNNNNNNNNNNNNNNNAAACGGCCCCGACAACCACCGUGCCAAAUUCAAUUUCCUACGCCCUCGUAUUUUUUAUUAUUUUUUUCGGGUCGGAAAAUUUUCGGACUUUCGGCACCGGCCCAGCCAAUGUGCUGGCGACUCUGACCAAGGUGCUAGCAACCUUGGGCGAAAACUAGUCGCUCCCGACGUUUUCGGAGCAAUUCUCGAAAUCUGAGAAAACGGGCCCGACAACCACCGUGCCAAAUUCAAUUUCCUACGCGCUCGUAUUUUUUAUUAUUUUUUUCGGGUCGGAAAAUUUUCGGACUUUCGGCACCGGCCCAGCCAAGGUGCUGGCGACUCUGCCCAAGGUGCUAGCAACCUUGGGCAAAAACUAGUCGGUCCCGACGUUUUCGGAGCAAUUCUCGAAAUCUGAGAAAACGGCCCCGACAACCACCGUGCCAAAUUCAAUUUCCUACGCGCUCGUAUUUUUUAUUAUUUUUUUCGGGUCGGAAAAUUUUCAGACUUUCGGCACCGGCCCAGCCAAGGUGCUGGCGACUCUGCCCAAGGUGCUAGCAACCUUGGGCAAAAACUAGUCGCUCCCGACGUUUUCGGAGCAAUUCUCGAAAUCUGAGAAAACGGCCCCGACAACCACCGUGCCAAAUUCAAUUUCCUACGCGCUCGUAUUUUUUAUUAUUUUUUUCGGGUCGGAAAAUUUUCGGACUUUCGGCACCGGGCCAGCCAAGGUGCUGGCGACUCUGCCCAAGGUGCUAGCAACCUUGGGCAAAAACUAGUCGCUCCCGACGUUUUCGGAGCAAUUCUCGAAAUCUGAGAAAACGGCCCCGACAACCACCGUGCCAAAUUCAAUUUCCUACGCGCUCGUAUUUUUUAUUAUUUUUUUCGGGUCGGAAAAUUUUCGGACUUUCGGCACCGGCCCAGCCAAGGUGCUGGCGACUCUGCCCAAGGUGCUAGCAACCUUGGGCAAAAACUAGUCGCUCCCGACGUUUUCGGAGCAAUUCUCGAAAUCUGAGAAAACGGCCCCGACAACCACCGUGCCAAAUUCAAUUUCCUACGCGCUCGUAUUUUUUAUUAUUUUUUUCGGGUCGGAAAAUUUUCGGACUUUCGGCACCGGCCCCGCCAAGGUGCUGGCGACUCUGCCCAAGGUGCUAGCAACCUCGGGCCCCAACUAGUCGCUCCCGACGUUUUCGGAGCAAUUCUCGAAAUCUGAGAAAACGGCCCCGACAACCACCGUGCCAAAUUCAAUUUCCUACGCGCUCGUAUUUUUUAUUAUUUUUUUCGGGUCGGAAAAUUUUCGGACUUUCGGCACCGGGCCAGCCAAGGUGCUGGCGACUCUGCCCAAGGUGCUAGCAACCUUGGGCAAAAACUAGUGGCUCCCGACGUUUUCGGAGCAGUUCUCGAAAUCUGAGAAAACGGCCCAGACAACCACCGUGCCAAAUUCAAUUUCCUACGCGCUCGUAUUUGUCAUUAUUUUUUUCGGGUCGGAAAGUUUUCGGACUUUCGGCACCGGCCCUGCCAAGGUGCUGGCGACUCUGCCCAAGGUGCUAGCAACGUUGGGCAAAAACUAGAUCGCUCCCGACGUUUUCGGAGCAUUUCUCGAAGUCUGAGAGAGCGGCCCCGACACCCAUUGUGCCAAAUUCAAUUUCCAACGCGCUCGUAUUUUUUAUUAUUUUUUUCGGGUCGGAAAAUUUUCGGACUUUCGGCACCGGCCCAGCCAAGGUGCUGGCGACUCUGCCCAAGGUGCUAGCAACUUUGCCCAAAACUAGUCGCUCCCGACGUUUUCGGAGCAAUUCUCGAAAUCUGACCAAACGGCCCCGACAACCACCGUGCCAAAUUCAAUUUCCUACGCGCUCGUAUUUUUUAUUAUUUUUUUCGGGUCGGAAAAUUU
rnacentral:lncRNA from 1 species